CACGUAGGGGGCGAGCGUUGUCCGGAUUUAUUGGGCGUAAAGAGCUCGUAGGCGGCUCAGUAAGUCAGGUGUGAAAACUCCAGGCUCAACCUGGAGACGCCACCUGAUACUGCUGUGGCUAGAGUCCGGUAGGGGAGCAUGGAAUUCCUGGUGUAGCGGUGAAAUGCGCAGAUAUCAGGAGGAACACCGGUGGCGAAGGCGGUUCUCUGGGCCUGUACUGACGCUGAGACGCGAAAGCGUGGGGAGCGAACCGG
rnacentral:rRNA from 1 species